rnacentral:miRNA from 1 species
UCCCUCAUCAACCGGAAGGGAUCCCUUCCGGUUGAUGAGGAAGAUUGAACUCAUCAACCGGAAGGAAUUCCUUCCGGUUGAUGAGGAA